rnacentral:rRNA from 1 species
CACGUAGGGUGCGAGCGUUGUCCGGAAUUAUUGGGCGUAAAGAGCUUGUAGGCGGUUUGUCGCGUCUGCUGUGAAAUUUCGGGGCUCAACCCCGAACUUGCAGUGGGUACGGGCAGACUAGAGUGCGGUAGGGGAGACUGGAAUUCCUGGUGUAGCGGUGAAAUGCGCAGAUAUCAGGAGGAACACCGGUGGCGAAGGCGGGCUACUGGGCCGAUACUGACGCUGAUGCGCGAAAGCCAGGGGAGCAAACGGG